GUACACAACCAAACCUCCUUGUUAAAGCCUGAUCUUGUCAGAUCUCAGAAACUAAGCAGGGAUAGGCCCGGUUAGUACUUGGAUGAGAGACCGCUGGAAAUACCAGGUGCCACAGUGUGGC
rnacentral:rRNA from 1 species